UAGGAUAUAUAAGAAGUAUAAUAGGAUAUAUAGAAAGUAUAAUAGGAUAUAUAGGUAUAAUAGUAUAAUAGGAUAUAUAGGUAUAAGAAGUAUAAUAGGAUAUAUAGGCAUUAGUAAGAAAGGAUGAAGUGGGGCAAUCUAUCCUAAAAUAUCCGUUUAACAAACAGCUGAUUUGUGGGGUCCGACAGUUUGUGAGGACCCUGAGGGAGAGCUGUUCUCUCUUUUCUCACAAUAUAACGAGUCGCACACACAGUCAUGCCAGGAGACAAUUUCCUCUCGCUCCAGGUGUGAAGAAAAACACUGAAGCAAAAAAAAAAAACUUUCCUGACACCCAGAAAAAAAAGAAAAAUGGGACGAGGUCUGGGAUCCAGACUCCGAUGGCCCAGUCCGUCCACGUUAACGUAAAACAGCGACUUGUAGGAAAUAAAAGCAAUAUAAAAACUUUACACACGGGGACUUUCUCUCUCCAAGAGAAGGAAAAGGGGUGUACAAAAAGGCUCAUUUUACACUCCAAUAUUUCAGAAAGGAAUCACGGACAUGUUUGCUUGCAGCCUGGAGCAUUUUGUCUUGUACUUCAUGCAGAAAUGUAAAACCAUAGGAUUCUGGGACGGUUACAUAACGGCGACCUCAUCCUUUUUGGAAAGCUGGGGACUUUUUUUUUUUUUUUCCCCCAGUGGUGCUUCCCACAGGAGAGUCUAAUAAAAGCGGACAGUUCACCAGCUCCAGUCUGGAUCAGACUACCAGUGUUUCAUAAAUAAUUAAACACCGGCACAUAGUUUCUGCAGCAAAAGAGAUCUUCAGAUAAGAGUUACGGUGGAAAAUAAAAAGUCUACACACCCCUGUUAAAAUGGCAAGUUGUUUACGAAGUGGUUUAAGUUGUAAGUUUGAUGUAAAAAAAAUAAGGAGAAAUAGAAUUUUUUUUUACAAUAACCCUG
ensembl:lncRNA